rnacentral:lncRNA from 1 species
GCUUAGGGUUAAGCCUGCCUUGAUAAAAAGGGUGAUUUUUUUUAAACGCUAAUUUUAGGAGCAUCAGAAGUUUCACUUGGACUUCAUGUGGAUCUCAAAGGUGAUACAGUUAUUGCUAUAAGUAGCAUAUAUUCACAAGGACCAAAAGAUAUCAUGGUUUUCUUUGUUAUUGGGAUGGAGAAUGAGAGUGAUUCCUAUGACUUCGUUUGUGUAUAAAAGAAAAUGCAAGAGCUUUGGACUUAGAAAACAGUUGA